ACCAGCCUACGGGCGCAGCAGUAGGGAAUCUUCCACAAUGGGCGAAAGCCUGAUGGAGCACCGCCGCGUGGGUGAAGAAGGUCUUCGGAUCGUAAAACCCUGUUGUUAGAGAAGAAAGUGCGUGAGAGUACCUGUUCACGUUUCGCCGGUAUCUAACCAGAAAGCCACGGCUAACUACGUGCCAGCAGCCGCGGUAAUACGUAGGUGGCAAGCGUUAUCCGGAUUUAUUGGGCGUAAAGGGAACGC
rnacentral:rRNA from 1 species